rnacentral:rRNA from 1 species
UUAAGCGACUAAGCGUACACGGUGGAUGCCCUGGCAGUCAGAGGCGAUGAAGGACGUGCUAAUCUGCGAUAAGCGUCGGUAAGGUGAUAUGAACCGUUAUAACCGGCGAUUUCCGAAUGGGGAAACCCAGUGUGUUUCGACACACUAUCAUUAACUGAAUCCAUAGGUUAAUGAGGCGAACCGGGGGAACUGAAACAUCUAAGUACCCCGAGGAAAAGAAAUCAACCGAGAUUCCCCCCAGUAGCGGCGAGCGAACGGGGAGCAGCCCAGAGCCUGAAUCAGUGUGUGUGUUAGUGGAAGCGUCUGGAAAGGCGCGCGAUACAGGGUGACAGCCCCGUACACAAAAAUGCACAUGCUGUGAGCUCGAUGAGUAGGGCGGGACACGUGGUAUCCUGUCUGAAUAUGGGGGGGACCAUCCUCCAAGGCUAAAUACUCCUGACUGACCGAUAGUGAACCAGUACCGUGAGGGAAAGGCGAAAAGAACCCCGGCGAGGGGAGUGAAAAAGAACCUGAAACCGUGUACGUACAAGCAGUGGGAGCCUCUUUUAUGGGGUGACUGCGUACCUUUUGUAUAAUGGGUCAGCGACUUAUAUUCUGUAGCAAGGUUAACCGAAUAGGGGAGCCGAAGGGAAACCGAGUCUUAACUGGGCGUUAAGUUGCAGGGUAUAGACCCGAAACCCGGUGAUCUAGCCAUGGGCAGGUUGAAGGUUGGGUAACACUAACUGGAGGACCGAACCGACUAAUGUUGAAAAAUUAGCGGAUGACUUGUGGCUGGGGGUGAAAGGCCAAUCAAACCGGGAGAUAGCUGGUUCUCCCCGAAAGCUAUUUAGGUAGCGCCUCGUGAAUUCAUCUCCGGGGGUAGAGCACUGUUUCGGCAAGGGGGUCAUCCCGACUUACCAACCCGAUGCAAACUGCGAAUACCGGAGAAUGUUAUCACGGGAGACACACGGCGGGUGCUAACGUCCGUCGUGAAGAGGGAAACAACCCAGACCGCCAGCUAAGGUCCCAAAGUCAUGGUUAAGUGGGAAACGAUGUGGGAAGGCCCAGACAGCCAGGAUGUUGGCUUAGAAGCAGCCAUCAUUUAAAGAAAGCGUAAUAGCUCACUGGUCGAGUCGGCCUGCGCGGAAGAUGUAACGGGGCUAAACCAUGCACCGAAGCUGCGGCAGCGACGCUUAUGCGUUGUUGGGUAGGGGAGCGUUCUGUAAGCCUGUGAAGGUGUGCUGUGAGGCAUGCUGGAGGUAUCAGAAGUGCGAAUGCUGACAUAAGUAACGAUAAAGCGGGUGAAAAGCCCGCUCGCCGGAAGACCAAGGGUUCCUGUCCAACGUUAAUCGGGGCAGGGUGAGUCGACCCCUAAGGCGAGGCCGAAAGGCGUAGUCGAUGGGAAACAGGUUAAUAUUCCUGUACUUGGUGUUACUGCGAAGGGGGGACGGAGAAGGCUAUGUUGGCCGGGCGACGGUUGUCCCGGUUUAAGCGUGUAGGCUGGUUUUCCAGGCAAAUCCGGAAAAUCAAGGCUGAGGCGUGAUGACGAGGCACUACGGUGCUGAAGCAACAAAUGCCCUGCUUCCAGGAAAAGCCUCUAAGCAUCAGGUAACAUCAAAUCGUACCCCAAACCGACACAGGUGGUCAGGUAGAGAAUACCAAGGCGCUUGAGAGAACUCGGGUGAAGGAACUAGGCAAAAUGGUGCCGUAACUUCGGGAGAAGGCACGCUGAUAUGUAGGUGAAGCGACUUGCUCGUGGAGCUGAAAUCAGUCGAAGAUACCAGCUGGCUGCAACUGUUUAUUAAAAACACAGCACUGUGCAAACACGAAAGUGGACGUAUACGGUGUGACGCCUGCCCGGUGCCGGAAGGUUAAUUGAUGGGGUCAGCGCAAGCGAAGCUCUUGAUCGAAGCCCCGGUAAACGGCGGCCGUAACUAUAACGGUCCUAAGGUAGCGAAAUUCCUUGUCGGGUAAGUUCCGACCUGCACGAAUGGCGUAAUGAUGGCCAGGCUGUCUCCACCCGAGACUCAGUGAAAUUGAACUCGCUGUGAAGAUGCAGUGUACCCGCGGCAAGACGGAAAGACCCCGUGAACCUUUACUAUAGCUUGACACUGAACAUUGAGCCUUGAUGUGUAGGAUAGGUGGGAGGCUUUGAAGUGUGGACGCCAGUCUGCAUGGAGCCGACCUUGAAAUACCACCCUUUAAUGUUUGAUGUUCUAACGUUGACCCGUAAUCCGGGUUGCGGACAGUGUCUGGUGGGUAGUUUGACUGGGGCGGUCUCCUCCUAAAGAGUAACGGAGGAGCACGAAGGUUGGCUAAUCUUGGUCGGACAUCAGGAGGUUAGUGCAAUGGCAUAAGCCAGCUUGACUGCGAGCGUGACGGCGCGAGCAGGUGCGAAAGCAGGUCAUAGUGAUCCGGUGGUUCUGAAUGGAAGGGCCAUCGCUCAACGGAUAAAAGGUACUCCGGGGAUAACAGGCUGAUACCGCCCAAGAGUUCAUAUCGACGGCGGUGUUUGGCACCUCGAUGUCGGCUCAUCACAUCCUGGGGCUGAAGUAGGUCCCAAGGGUAUGGCUGUUCGCCAUUUAAAGUGGUACGCGAGCUGGGUUUAGAACGUCGUGAGACAGUUCGGUCCCUAUCUGCCGUGGGCGCUGGAGAACUGAGGGGGGCUGCUCCUAGUACGAGAGGACCGGAGUGGACGCAUCACUGGUGUUCGGGUUGUCAUGCCAAUGGCACUGCCCGGUAGCUAAAUGCGGAAGAGAUAAGUGCUGAAAGCAUCUAAGCACGAAACUUGCCCCGAGAUGAGUUCUCCCUGACCCUUUAAGGGUCCUGAAGGAACGUUGAAGACGACGACGUUGAUAGGCCGGGUGUGUAAGCGCAGCGAUGCGUUGAGCUAACCGGUACUAAUGAACCGUGAGGCUUAACCUU